CCCUUCGGACGUGACAGGCUGGCUCGAUUGGAUCGAGCCUGGCCUUGCUCAGUUGUACGGCGGUGUGUUUGCGGAGUUUGGCGCGGAGGACACGUUUGAUUUGCAGGCCUUCGACGAGGCGGGUAUCACGGAGCUGCGAGUCUCGCUUGCUCGGGCAGGC
rnacentral:SRP_RNA from 1 species